rnacentral:rRNA from 1 species
GCAGCCGCGGUAAUUCCAGCUCCAAUAGCGUAUAUUAAAGUUGCUGCAGUUAAAAAGCUCGUAGUUGAAUUUCGGGACCAAUAUGUCGGUCGUGCCUCGGUACGUACUGGCAUCGUUGGUUUCUCCCUUCUGACGAACCAUGAUGUCAUUUAUUUGGUGUCGUGGGGAAUCAGGACUGUUACUUUGAAAAAAUUAGAGUGUUUAAAGCAGGCUCACGCUUGAAUACAUUAGCAUGGAAUAAUGAAAUAGGACGUUUGAUUCUAUUUUGUUGGUUUCUAGGAUCGACGUAAUGAUUAAUAGGGAUAGUUGGGGGCAUUAGUAUUCAAUUGUCAGAGGUGAAAUUCUUGGAUUUAUUGAAGACUAACUACUGCGAAAGCAUUUGCCAAGGAUGUUUUCAUUAAUCAAGAACGAAAGUUAGGGGAUCGAAGACGAUCAGAUACCGUCGUAGUCUUAACCAUAAACUAUGCCGACUAGGGAUCGGAUGAUGUUAAUUUUUUAAUGACUCAUUCGGCGCCUUACGGG